GGGUUGUGAGGUUAAGCGACUAAGCGUACACGGUGGAUGCCCUGGCAGUCAGAGGCGAUGAAGGACGUGCUAAUCUGCGAUAAGCGCCGGUAAGGUGAUAUGAACCGUUAUAACCGGCGAUUUCCGAAUGGGGAAACCCAGUGUGAUUCGUCACACUAUCAUUAACUGAAUCCAUAGGUUAAUGAGGCGAACCGGGGGAACUGAAACAUCUAAGUACCCCGAGGAAAAGAAAUCAACCGAGAUUCCCCCAGUAGCGGCGAGCGAACGGGGAGGAGCCCAGAGCCUGAAUCAGCAUGUGUGUUAGUGGAAGCGUCUGGAAAGGCGCGCGAUACAGGGUGACAGCCCCGUACACAAAAGCGCAUGUGCUGUGAGCUCGAUGAGUAGGGCGGGACACGUGGUAUCCUGUCUGAAUAUGGGGGGACCAUCCUCCAAGGCUAAAUACUCCUGACUGACCGAUAGUGAACCAGUACCGUGAGGGAAAGGCGAAAAGAACCCCGGCGAGGGGAGUGAAAAAGAACCUGAAACCGUGUACGUACAAGCAGUGGGAGCACAGGUUUACCUGUGUGACUGCGUACCUUUUGUAUAAUGGGUCAGCGACUUAUAUUCUGUAGCAAGGUUAACCGUAUAGGGGAGCCGGAGGGAAACCGAGUCUUAACCGGGCGUUAAGUUGCAGGGUAUAGACCCGAAACCCGGUGAUCUAGCCAUGGGCAGGUUGAAGGUUGGGUAACACUAACUGGAGGACCGAACCGACUAAUGUUGAAAAAUUAGCGGAUGACCUGUGGCUGGGGGUGAAAGGCCAAUCAAACCGGGAGAUAGCUGGUUCUCCCCGAAAGCUAUUUAGGUAGCGCCUCGUGAAUUCAUCUCCGGGGGUAGAGCACUGUUUCGGCUAGGGGGCCAUCCCGGCUUACCAACCCGAUGCAAACUGCGAAUACCGGAGAAUGUUAUCACGGGAGACACACGGCGGGUGCUAACGUCCGUCGUGAAGAGGGAAACAACCCAGACCGCCAGCUAAGGUCCCAAAGUCAUGGUUAAGUGGGAAACGAUGUGGGAAGGCCCAGACAGCCAGGAUGUUGGCUUAGAAGCAGCCAUCAUUUAAAGAAAGCGUAAUAGCUCACUGGUCGAGUCGGCCUGCGCGGAAGAUGUAACGGGGCUAAACCAUGCACCGAAGCUGCGGCAGCGACGCUGAUGCGUUGUUGGGUAGGGGAGCGUUCUGUAAGCCUGCGAAGGUGACCUGUGAGGGUUGCUGGAGGUAUCAGAAGUGCGAAUGCUGACAUAAGUAACGAUAAAGCGGGUGAAAAGCCCGCUCGCCGGAAGACCAAGGGUUCCUGUCCAACGUUAAUCGGGGCAGGGUGAGUCGACCCCUAAGGCGAGGCCGAAAGGCGUAGUCGAUGGGAAACGGGUUAAUAUUCCCGUACUUGGUGUUACUGCGAAGGGGGGACGGAGAAGGCUAUGUUGGCCGGGCGACGGUUGUCCCGGUUUAAGCGUGUAGGUGUGUGUUCCAGGUAAAUCCGGUUCACUUUAACACUGAGGCGUGACGACGAGGCACUACGGUGCUGAAGCAACAAAUGCCCUGCUUCCAGGAAAAGCCUCUAAGCAUCAGGUAACACGAAAUCGUACCCCAAACCGACACAGGUGGUCAGGUAGAGAAUACCAAGGCGCUUGAGAGAACUCGGGUGAAGGAACUAGGCAAAAUGGUGCCGUAACUUCGGGAGAAGGCACGCUGACACGUAGGUGAAGUGAUUUACUCAUGGAGCUGAAGUCAGUCGAAGAUACCAGCUGGCUGCAACUGUUUAUUAAAAACACAGCACUGUGCAAACACGAAAGUGGACGUAUACGGUGUGACGCCUGCCCGGUGCCGGAAGGUUAAUUGAUGGGGUCAGCGCAAGCGAAGCUCCUGAUCGAAGCCCCGGUAAACGGCGGCCGUAACUAUAACGGUCCUAAGGUAGCGAAAUUCCUUGUCGGGUAAGUUCCGACCUGCACGAAUGGCGUAAUGAUGGCCAGGCUGUCUCCACCCGAGACUCAGUGAAAUUGAACUCGCUGUGAAGAUGCAGUGUACCCGCGGCAAGACGGAAAGACCCCGUGAACCUUUACUAUAGCUUGACACUGAACAUUGAGCCUUGAUGUGUAGGAUAGGUGGGAGGCUUUGAAGUGUGGACGCCAGUCUGCAUGGAGCCGACCUUGAAAUACCACCCUUUAAUGUUUGAUGUUCUAACGUGGACCCGUAAUCCGGGUUGCGGACAGUGUCUGGUGGGUAGUUUGACUGGGGCGGUCUCCUCCUAAAGAGUAACGGAGGAGCACGAAGGUUGGCUAAUCCUGGUCGGACAUCAGGAGGUUAGUGCAAUGGCAUAAGCCAGCUUGACUGCGAGCGUGACGGCGCGAGCAGGUGCGAAAGCAGGUCAUAGUGAUCCGGUGGUUCUGAAUGGAAGGGCCAUCGCUCAACGGAUAAAAGGUACUCCGGGGAUAACAGGCUGAUACCGCCCAAGAGUUCAUAUCGACGGCGGUGUUUGGCACCUCGAUGUCGGCUCAUCACAUCCUGGGGCUGAAGUAGGUCCCAAGGGUAUGGCUGUUCGCCAUUUAAAGUGGUACGCGAGCUGGGUUUAGAACGUCGUGAGACAGUUCGGUCCCUAUCUGCCGUGGGCGCUGGAGAACUGAGGGGGGCUGCUCCUAGUACGAGAGGACCGGAGUGGACGCAUCACUGGUGUUCGGGUUGUCAUGCCAAUGGCACUGCCCGGUAGCUAAAUGCGGAAGAGAUAAGUGCUGAAAGCAUCUAAGCACGAAACUUGCCCCGAGAUGAGUUCUCCCUGAGACUUAGAGUCUCCUGAAGGAACGUUGAAGACGACGACGUUGAUAGGCCGGGUGUGUAAGCGCAGCGAUGCGUUGAGCUAACCGGUACUAAUGAACCGUGAGGCUUAACCUUACAACGCCGAAG
rnacentral:rRNA from 1 species